ACCCAGUGUUCAUUUGUUAACAUCAAUAAUGUGUGACCACGAAAGGAAACCCUUCUGAAGAUCGAAGAUCCUGCUCGCAGCUAUGCCUCAUUGCCUACCAUGGCCAAAACCUCUUUGAGGUUUACCGUAGUGUUCUCCGUCUGAUUGUUAUGUGUUGAGGAUGAGCUGAAUGUUACUGAUAUUGAUACCUGAUAUCUAAUUGUGGUCAAUGUUUAGUGUAACACCGUGACAUCUUCCAAUGCCAAAGUUUAUUUCCAACGAGCAAAAGCUUAUUUGCAUUGCAAUUACGAGCGGUAGUGUGAUGUGUGGAACGUGUAUAUGUACGAUUGGGA